rnacentral:hammerhead_ribozyme from 1 species
AUCCAGCUGAUGAGUCAUAAGCAAGACGAAACGCGCGUUCUGUAU